AAACUUAGGAUUACAUAAACCGAAG
rnacentral:tRNA from 1 species